rnacentral:rRNA from 1 species
UACGUAGGGGGCUAGCGUUGUCCGGAAUCAUUGGGCGUAAAGAGCGCGCAGGCGGUCGAUCAAGUCGAGUGUGAAAGCCCCCGGCUCAACUGGGGAGGGUCAUUCGAUACUGAUCGACUCGAAGGCAGGAGAGGGUAGUGGAAUUCCCGGUGUAGUGGUGAAAUGCGUAGAUAUCGGGAGGAACACCAGUGGCGAAGGCGACUACCUGGCCUGUUCUUGACGCUGAGGCGCGAAAGCUAGGGGAGCAAACGGG